UUAUAAUGGUUAAUUUAUAAUAGUUAUCAUUUAAAUAAAAUAGUCUUUUUGUAGAUAGGUUUGAUGUAAUUUGAAUUAUGAUAGUUUAUUGUACUGUAUAGGAUAAUAUUAUUUACUUUAAAAGUUUAUAUUAUUUUUGUACCUUGUGUAUCAGGGUUAAUUAAAAUAUAUGUAUAUUUGAUUAAAGUAUUCUCGAAGAAUUUGAAGCUAGUAUAUUAAUAAAUUUAUUGUUUUAAAAAUAUUAAUAAUUAUUUAUUAGUGGUGACAUGUCAGUCGACGAAUAGUAUAUCUAGUUUUAUGGGAAAAAAAUUUAAUUUAAAACUUUUCUUUAAUUUUUUAAUUAUUAAUUAAUUUUUUUUAGUUUGGUUUAAGAUAGAUGGGGCUAAGCUUGUUUAUAUUUUAUAAAUAGAAAUAGCUGAAAUAUUAUGAAUUUAUAGUUGGUUAAUGAUUUAAGUAUGUCAUAAUUUCACUUAAAAUAUUUCACUUUUUUUUAAUUUUGAAGUUUUACUAUAAUGUUUUAAUUACUAUAAUAUUAAAAGUAAUAAUGAUUAAAUUAGUAUAUAAGGAAUUAAUUUAUGUUUUUUUAGUGGAUUAUUUUUAGGAAUUCGGCAAAGAUUUGUUCGCCUGUUUAUCAAAAACAUCGCUUCAUGACAGAGUAUGAAGUAUUGCCUGCCCUAUGAUUUAAUUAAAUGGCCGCGGUAUACUGACCGUGCAAAGGUAGCAUAAUCAUUAGUCUUUUAAUUGGAGGCUGGAAUGAAAGGUGGGACGAAAUAACUACUGUCUUAUUCUGACAAAAUUGAAUUUAAUUAUUGAGUAAGAAAGCUUAAAUAAUUUUAUGGGACGAUAAGACCCUAUAGAGUUUUAUAAUUUUAUAAAUUAAAUUGGUUGGACUACUGUCUUAAUUUUUGAAAUUAUUUUGUUGGGGUGAUGAGAAUAUAUAAUUAACUCUUUUUUAUAAAGUACACAUAUUUGUGGUUAAUUGACCCGUAUGUUAUGAUUAGAAGACUAAAUUACCUUAGGGAUAACAGCGUAAUUUUAGUUGAGAGUUCACAUCGACACUAAAGAUUGCGACCUCGAUGUUGGAUUAAGAUCAUUAUUAGGUGUAGUAGCUUAAAUAAUAGGUCUGUUCGACCUUUAAAGUCUUACAUGAUCUGAGUUCAGACCGGCGUGAGCCAGGUUGGUUUCUAUCUAUUAAGUUUUAUUAUACUUUAGUACGAAAGGACCAAGUAU
rnacentral:rRNA from 1 species